UACUAAUUUCCUGACAGCACUCGCCACAGACAGUUCCUGUUCCCUGGCAAGAACUAACAACACUACCUGUGCCUUUGCAGAUGGUUUGGUUUGUAUAUAUCUUUCUGGAAGCACACAAUUUGUUUUCUGCCUGGGAUGUAUUUGCCAGAAAUUUUCAACUGUCAAAACAACCCCUUUCCUAGCUCAUGAUCUCACCACAGUGUACCCAUUAGGCUUCUGUCCAGCCCAGAAAGACCAUGGUGACAUGCAUUGCUGAGCACUGGACUGUGUUCUCAUGAUGAAGCGCUAAGUUGAAGUUGGCUUGAGAGGAGAGGCAGUCAGCUUGGAAUAAGAGAUGGGAGAGGUUAGCUUUGGAAAUGUUUAUAGCAGCAGUUUGUGUGAAAUAAUGCAAAGACGGGGCUCGCUGGGUCACAGUUUGGCAGUUGGGAGGAGGAGGACAGUAAAGAAUGUGGAGCUUUUAUUUGUCCUUUUACAUACAUCCGUGAAAUAAGUGAGAUAGUUACUCUGGCCGGAGUCUUCCUCCCGGGAGGGAAAGAGGACAACAGUAAGAAGGCUGUACAUUCUUAAUCUGAUAUGUUUCUGUUAAAAGACAUACACUCUCCAGCUUCAGCUCUCAUGGAGGGAACAAAUCCUAUCAGGAUAGCAUUGCAGUGUGAAGAGAAGAAGUAGGACAGCACCAUUGCCAGGACAUCUUCAUGGCAUCUGGACAUGCUGCCAGCCUGUGACCUUCUGCAAGGCGGUCUCAGAGCCAGCAGUGUAAAGGAUGAGAUGGAACUUCCUCCCACUGUCAUCACAAGCUGAGAGAAGAGAUGCUAACAGCCUGCUGUGUACUGCGGUGGAAGGCAGCUGGCACAGAAAGCGUGGAACCACAAGAAAAGGGCAAGCCAGAGCUUUUGCAAAGGGAGACAUUGGCAGUUUGCUGAAGUUUGUUAUGAUUAGUUUUGACUUAGUCUUCUUUGUCUCUUCGGCUUUUAUGGAGAGAAAAGGAACAAAAAUGUAGCAAAUGCUGUUUAAGAACAGCUACAAUUUGCUGUAAUGGUGCAUGGCCUCUCAACUUCAUUUUUAAUUAAUUUCCAAAUCCAGGAAAUCCAUUCAUCACAAUUCUGGAAUGCUGGAAAACUCACUGAGGAACUACAAAGGGCAGGUAAAGCAAAAGCAUUUAAAAUAGUUGCAGAUGAGCUGAUAAGAGGCUCAAAGAAACAGUUAAAUUUGUGUGCAGAUAACUUAACCACAGUAUCUGGAAUGUAUAAACAUAGCACUUUUUUUUCUUUUUUUUUUUUAACUUUUUUUUUUCUGGCCUUAAAAUUUGAUCCAAGUCUGGGAGUUAAAAAGUCCCAUUUUGUGUAAUCAGGUUCUGGUUGAACAUGAUUGCUGAAUUAUUUUAAAUUGAAGACACAUGUCUGGAUGUUGAGUUCUGUAUAUUAUUCCAGGAUGGUGUCCAUUAGGUCUUAUCCACAGGGGCUAUCUUCAUUCCUUAUGCAUCAGGAUUAGCAAAUGGUGAAUCAUGAAUAUGGAGACAGUGUAAAGAAUGUGGUACUAGUUAAAGGGUGAUUUUGGAAAUUAUCUUGCAUGCAUUAUUCAAAACUUUUCAGUCUCUCCUGCACAGAGUCCCUAAGGCUGUUUCAAAGUGUUAUUUUAAAGCACACUUGUACAAGGCAUUUGCAUUCUUUCAUUUUGAAUCUUGAGUUUAGCAAUGAACCAACAUUUGCCUUAACCCCUUGUCAGUCCUAAAGCAUUCUCAAGAGUAUGAGUUGCUCAUCUAAUGGUUGCAUUGCCAUAUGCUGUCCUUCUGUAAUAGAUCUGCCCCUGACCUCUGUGUUUUUACAUUGCUUCUUUUACUGGCAGAUGGACCAUUACAUAAAUUGAAACAUAUUUUCAUGGAUACUCCCAGUGGUGAGAGAGUAUUGUCUCAUUAGCUCCAUGGGGAAAACAGUCUAAACCCAAAGCUGAGUAGCUCACCUGUCCAUAUGGUGGGUGAAAAGAGGUGUCCUUACAGCAUAUGCUACAGGCAGCGAUGUCUCCUGAAUUGCUGGAAGAUGAAAGUUCUGAGGUGUGGCAAGGAGACGAUGAACAAAGAGUUUGUCUUUUUCCUGUCUGGGCUGUCCAAAUGCUUGUGUAGUUUUUAAAGACCAGGCUGGAUGCUCUUUGGGUACCCUGCAGCCAUGUACCACGGGUCAGCCACCACAGGAUACCCUGCCCAUAUCUUUUCCCCACACAGAGCUCCUGCAGGGAAGGUCUCUGAAAGUCUUCAUUCACCAUAUAUAUACAUAUAUAUAUUUUUUUUUUUAAUUAAAUGUAUCUUUUUGUUUGUUUUGUUAGUUUGUAUCAGAUCAAAAUAAAAAUGACAAAAAAAAGACUGUCGCCAUCAUUCACAUGUUUCUAUUUCCACGUGUUCGCAACAACCGCAAUGGGAAUUUCAUCCAUCUUUUAAUCAAAACUGUUUGAGAAAUCACACCACCCAACUUCUUCACAAAGGAAAACACUCUUGUCAGUGUGUGGACGACUCGAUGACAGAGUCAACAGUGGUUCUGAUAUAACAUUUCACGAAAGCUGAAAGACAUCCCAAAAGCCCGCAAAGAGGAAGUGGCCACAAAAUAUGAAUACCCAUGGCCUGCUCAAAAUGCAUUCCUCAGUUUUCAGCCUGGGAAAUGACAGAGUUCAUUGUGCAGAUGGGCUCUCUGAUUCCAUCACAAUGGUAUCUCCAUACACUGCCUCUCUCCCUCCCUCUUAGGCAGGGCGAAUCUGCUGGGCUUUAAAUCUUUCUCAGCCAGAAGGAAUUCCGAAAGGAGGAAAACAGCUGGGAAACACAUAUCCAUGCCUCCUGCAAAGAUGGGACCUGAUUCUCUAACUUUUGGGAAGAAACCUGCGUAGACUGACCGUAAAAAGAGCCAGAGGAAUAUAAGAAAAACAAAAUACAGUCUUGAGCCCAGACCUAGGCCAACAUAUGCUGGUGAUUUCACAUGGUGUCACUGCAAGAAGCUGUUGGGAAUGUUGUGGUAUUAAUAGAAUCUAGAUACCAUUUAAUACUUAAAGAGAUGGUUCCUUCACCUAGGACUCAGGAUAGCACAUUCUGCUUACUGAGAAGGGUCACCAAAUGGCAGUGUG
ensembl:lncRNA